UCCGGGUUGGACCCGGCGGUCCCGCCAGACAUCGUAACUGGCAGCGAGGGUUGCGCUCGUUGCGGGACUUAACCCAACACCUCACGGCACGAGCUGACGACAGCCAUGCAGCAUCUGUGCGCGCUCCCUUGCGGGUCCCUCACCUUUCGGUUCGGUACCACGCGCAUGUCAAGCCUGGGUAAGGUUCUUCGCGUUGCAUCGAAUUAAACCACACGCUCCGCUGCUUGUGCGGGCCCCCGUCAAUUCCUUUGAGUUUCAGCCUUGCGGCCGUACUCCCCAGGCGGGAUACUUAACGCGUUAGCUUCGUUACCAAGGAAUUACUUCCCCGACAACCAGUUGACAUCGUUUAGGGCGUGGACUAC
rnacentral:misc_RNA from 1 species